rnacentral:rRNA from 1 species
GAUGAACGCUAGCUACAGGCUUAACACAUGCAAGUCGAGGGGUAACAAGAGAAAAGCUUGCUUUUCUUGUUGACGACCGGCGCACGGGUGAGUAACGCGUAUCCAACCUGCCUAUAACUAGGGAAUAACCUUGCGAAAGUAAGACUAAUACCCUAUGAUUUCCUUUGAUGACAUCAGAUUAGGAAUAAAGAUUUAUCGGUUAUAGAUGGGGAUGCGUCUGAUUAGCUUGUUGGCGGGGUAACGGCCCACCAAGGCAACGAUCAGUAGGGGUUCUGAGAGGAAGGUCCCCCACAUUGGAACUGAGACACGGUCCAAACUCCUACGGGAGGCAGCAGUGAGGAAUAUUGGUCAAUGGGCGAAAGCCUGAACCAGCCAGGUAGCGUGCAGGAUGACGGCCCUAUGGGUUAUAAACUGCUUUUAUACAGGAAUAAAGUUAGCCACGUGUGGUUAUUUGUAGGUACUGUAUGAAUAAGGACCGGCUAAUUCCGUGCCAGCCGCCGCCGUAA